UCCACCCCAAAAUCGACGGUACGGUCGGACCAGCUCGCCUGCACGACGCCGCCGCCGCCGCCUGGACCGACCAACCCGCGGCGGCGGCGGGCGGCGCAAACCGCCGGCAAGGCUCAAGAGCACCCCCUGGCCUGCGCGCUGUACCCCGUAGCGGGGGCCAUGAGCACGAGCACCGACGCGCUCCCGAGGGCGACACUGCGAGGUGGAGCUGUAGGGGAGUAAUUUCCGUGUAUAUUAGAAAAUGUAUCACUGCAACAAAGUGCUACCUUGCUUGUCUCUGAUGCUUCUAGGCCUCUAGCUGCCCAUGGCACAUUACAAAGAUAUCCAUAGAUCACAUUACUAAGCACAUAAGCUUCAUGAUCACUUCUUGCUAGCUAGUUGUGGACUGGAUUGCUGGGUAAUUUGAAGACAGCAUUUUGGCUUGUUUUAGAGGGUGAAGUGCAGACUUAACUUACAGCAAGAUUUACUUCCUAAUAAGGGAUGCAAGUGCGCAGCACAAUCCAAUGACUGAUAUAGUUUGACUAUGAAGGUUUAUCCCUUUUAUGCUCCUGGUUUAAUCCAAAUGACGCGUCUCUCUGGUAAUAGAGUUUGGUCCCUUUUAUGCCCCAUUGUUUACUGCUAUAAUGCAGGUUUGCCCCUUCUAUGCUCCCCGAUCUACUGCAAAAAUGUGUAGGAUAAGUUCUAAUGUAUAUCAUCAAAGAGCCUUUUGUGAUGAAAAUGAUCUUUACUUGUGAAGCACUUCAUAAUAUGAAAUUGCAUGGCUCUCAUGUUUGUGACCACAUUGUUAUUAAACUCCGUGCAUAAGCCACCCAUGGAGUACAAGUGUACAACACAAAGUAGGAAUGGGCUUUGGUUGCACUUGUUGAAGUCGAAGAUAUCAAUCGUACAUCACUGAUACGUGAGAGAGAUUGACCCGUAACUACUCUUGGUGACUGAUUGAUAGAAUCGCGUCAAUUUAGAUUACUGAUAAACUUGCAAAAUCAUUAACGUCAGUGUCCAAACAACGACCAGAUCAGAGUAACCAUUCACAUCAAAGUUGUUUGUAAGAAGCUUAGACACGCAAUUGCUUGUUGUCGACAUCAUUACUCCAUUGCCAAGAUAUGUUAGCUAGCAUUCAUAUAUGCACACAGGAACUAACAGAGAUAUAUAAUUACAAAAUUCACAUUGGCUGCCCAUUUGGAAGUUUCAAUUUGGAGUGUCUAGUUUUCUUCUAGAGGAAUGCACUCCACAGGGGUAGCUUUCAUGAUUUUACAGGGUCAGUACUGAAGUUCUAGAGCACAUAUAUUAUCUAUGGCCUCUUUCUAUCCGUAUGCUCGAUGUGCGUUUGUGUGCUCUCUUUGCUUUUAAGACAUUCGAGGAAAACGUGGAGUAUAUUUUUUCACAUCUGGCAGUAGAAUGGUAGAGUACUUACCCGAUAUACAUAUUAUUGAAAGCGCAAGCGACCUAUAUGUCUCAUAUAAUACUCAUAGCAACAAUUCAGUUCAGUACUGCAGCAAUCAAUCAUUUUUCUUAUUGUUCAAUGGCACAUAAACCUAUGUGUGGCAAUGGAUCCUUGUGAAAUAAUGUGAGAUAGACUAUCUUAAUUAAACACCGGGAGUUGGAUAAAAGGAAAAGAGGGGUAAAUAAACUACCUAGACUUCCAAUACAUUUCCCUCGUUUAUAUUUUCUUGCUACCUGAUAUGCAUCUAAAAUUUUGGAUCUUUAUCCACCGCCAGGAUUACUUGGAAACUUGAACCAUGAAGGAAUUAAAUAGGUUGACUCUUUCAAAAGCAAAUUUAGGCAUCGUCCACUAUUUUUUUUUAUCAUUUUUAAAACUUUGUUAAUCCCUCCAUCCCAAAACAAUUUCAUCUUUCCUGUUUACUGGAAAGAUGAAGUUAUUUUGGGAUGGGGGGAGUACUUGUUUGUGCUCAUGCUGUGAAAAGUAUAUAAUGGAAAUAUUUUGCCUUCUAUCAGAUGUGUGAAGUCAUUUGUAUGACUAAUCCGUAUUUUCUUACUCUAACAUGCAGCAGCCUAAUCUGAAGGGUCCUACUUUUACAGGGAAAAAGGCCCUUGAUGCAUCAGUUCAUUGAAUACAAGACAUCAUUCUGUUCUCUCAUGAUUUCGGUGAAGCUAAUACCUAAAGGAGUUAUCAGUUUCUUUUUUGUUUUGACACAGAUUCCUUAGUUGUUUGUCAUAGAAAGAAAAUGACUUUACUUGCAGGCUGUUUCUCUUUUAGGUGUUCUUAGGUAAGAAAAGGCAUGCCAUGCCGGUACGGAUCUUUUUGUGUUUGUUAGACAACAAAAUACCAUUUCCAAUUCAGUUUGUCAGAGAGCGAUGGCAAUACAAACAAAAAAAGCAUACAUCUGUACCAACCAUGACAAUGAUCAAUUGGUGUGACUUGAGUGAUCUACAAGCUAUUUGCUCCAGCCUUCAGCCACCUUCCUGGUUUCCCAUAGCUAGGUUGUCAAAUGUGCUAGAGCAGAAAACUACAGAAAUGAAUUCUGAUUCUCUCAAUUCCCAUCCUUUGGGCUGAUUUUUGUACGGUUUCACUACUUCUGAACAUUUUCCUAACAAACAGUCAAAAUUUUCAGUCCUGUGAACUUUUAUUGCAUGUCAACUUUUCACUAUUGAAUGAACUGGUAAAGCUUUU